rnacentral:rRNA from 1 species
AGAGUUUGGUAGGGGAAACUGGAAUUCCUGGUGUAGCGGUGGAAUGCGCAGAUAUCAGGAGGAACACCAAUGGCGAAGGCAGGUCUCUGGGCCAAUACUGACACUGAGGAGCGAAANCNGGNNNGCGAACAGGAUUAGAUWCCCUGGUAGUCCGCGCCCGUAAACGAUGGNCGCUAGUUUGUGGG